UACGUAGGGUCCGAGCGUUGUCCGGAUUUAUUGGGCGUAAAGAGCUCGUAGGCGGUUCCGUAAGUCAGAUGUGAAAACUCAGGGCUCAACCCGGAGACGCCAUCUGAUACUGCGGUGACUGGAGUCUGGUAGGGGAACACGGAAUUCCUGGUGUAGCGGUGAAAUGCGCAGAUAUCAGGAGGAACACCGAUGGCGAAGGCAGUGUUCUGGGCCAGUACUGACGCUGCGGAGCGAAAGCGUGGGGAGCAAACAGG
rnacentral:rRNA from 1 species